AGUGGGGAAUAUUGCGCAAUGGGCGGAAGCCUGACGCAGCGACGCCGCGUGAGGGAUGACGGCCUUCGGGUUGUAAACCUCUUUCAGCAGGGACGAAUUGUGACGGUACCUGUAGAAGAAGCACCGGCCAACUACGUGCCAGCAGCCGCGGUAAUACGUAGGGUGCGAGCGUUGUCCGGAAUUAUUGGGCGUAAAGAGCUCGUAGGCGGUCUGUCGCGUCGAAUGUGAAAACCCGGGGCUCAACUCCGGGCUUGCAUUCGAUACGGGCAGGCUAGAGUUCGGUAGGGGAGUCUGGAAUUCCUGGUGUAGCGGUGAAAUGCGCAGAUAUCAGGAGGAACACCGGUGGCGAAGGCGGGACUCUGGGCCGAUACUGACGCUGAGGAGCGAAAGCGUGGGGAGCGAA
rnacentral:rRNA from 1 species